UACGAAGGGGGCUAGCGUUGUUCGGAAUUACUGGGCGUAAAGCGCGCGCAGGCGGCUAUCCAAGUCAGUGGUGAAAGCCCGGAGCUCAACUCCGGAACUGCCAUUGAAACUGUUUAGCUUGAGGACGAGAGAGGUGAGUGGAAUUCCCAGUGUAGAGGUGAAAUUCGUAGAUAUUGGGAAGAACACCGGUGGCGAAGGCGGCUCACUGGCUCGUUUCUGACGCUCAGGCGCGAUAGCGUGGGGAU
rnacentral:rRNA from 1 species